GGGACGGAUAGUGGAGGUGAGGUCAGAGGGGCCUGCCUGGGAGAGCGUGAUCGAGGGUGGAUGACAGUGACCAUUCAGCCACCGUACCUCCCAAAUGUGGCCCUAGAAAUGUACGCUCCUAAUGCACUCCUGCUCUUCUUCCAGGUGUGGUACUGGGGGGCUGCGGUGACAAAUCCAUACGUUUCCGUCCCACGCUGGUCUUCAGGGAUCACCAUGCCCACUUGUUCCUCAACAUUUUCAGUGGUAUCUUAGCAGACUUCAAGUAAAGAAGCCAUCUCCACGACAUUCAGAGAAAGCUCUGUCCCAGCGGUGUCAACUUGAUUAGUUUGCCUAAUUCAUAUUUUCACUUCAAAGUUUAUCAGAGGCGAAUGCAUAAACUAAAGGGUCAUUUGUGGGGCAGGCUCAAUGGCGAGUGCGUGUGGAGGAUCGGGUGGGAGGACCAUGCUUUGAGGAACGCCCCUCUCAGAGUUCAUGGUGGCCAUUGGUUAAAGCCCAAAAGUUCUGUGUAAGCCUUGAACACUGUCUUAGGAAAGGCCAUGAGGCCGAAUUUCUGCCAACCCUGGACCAACCAGUCUCUUAGAAGCCACUCAAGGGCAUUACACUUGCUCCGAGGUGGGUGGGUCUCUGCCCACCUCAAGUACCCAGUCUUGGGAUCAGAGAUAAUGGCAUCCUCUUGUCCCUCACAAACAAAACUCACGUGGCUUCUCACUCCCAAGUCCCUACUCCAUGCCCCACUCGUGACUUCUGAGGGUCUGGAUGGCUGUCAGGAAUAUGACAAGGUGGGAAGAUAAUGACUGUGUUUGGAGGCGUAGAGAGGCUUCCAGUAUCCUCAACA
rnacentral:lncRNA from 1 species